rnacentral:lncRNA from 1 species
UGUUAAAUCGGUUUUGUUUUCUUAUUCUUUUAUUGUUUAUCAUGCUCUCAUUUCAUAAAAGGUUUAAUUUCUAAAAUUAAUCAUGUGAGAGAAUCAAAGGUGAUUGAUUGUUCCUAUUGUUUUGUUUUGAUUUUUUUUUGGUAGAAGUUUUGUUUUGAUUUAUUUGUGAAGUGAUAAUAUCUCCUUUUUUUUUUGUUGGUACAACACAAUCUUCCAAUCUUACUAAUCAUUUUUAAAAAUUAUAAUAUACAUUGAUUUCGUUUUAAUUCUAAUCGAUCUAAUGGAUGAAUUUGUAGACUUCUUAUUAAUCAUUUUUUUAAUUGUCAUGUUAGGGGUGUAUAAUUCUUGCUAUUGUUUGCGGAACUUUGAUUAACAAUUUUGCCAAACUUUGAUUUACAGGUCAAAUCCAGCAUUAGCAGCGCUACAUGUUUGAGAAUUUUGCCAAUUCUUGCUAUUGUAAACUGAAUUUGAUGUAUAUAUCUUGUGUAUCAAGAGUAUGAUGCAAAGGGAAAAAUGUAUUCUAUGAGUAACGUUGGUGAUGCAAAUCUUAUGUAUUUUUUUUAAUAAGAAUGAGGAAAAUUGAUAAAAAAGAUGAUUGAAUAUUUUAAAGAGAAUUUUUUAUGUGUGCG